rnacentral:rRNA from 1 species
UGCAAGUCGAGCGAACAGAUAAGGAGCUUGCUCCUUUGACGUUAGCGGCGGACGGGUGAGUAACACGUGGGUAACCUACCUAUAAGACUGGGAUAACUUCGGGAAACCGGAGCUAAUACCGGAUAACAUUUGGAACCGCAUGGUUCUAAAGUGAAAGAUGGUUUUGCUAUCACUUAUAGAUGGACCCGCGCCGUAUUAGCUAGUUGGUAAGGUAACGGCUUACCAAGGCGACGAUACGUAGCCGACCUGAGAGGGUGAUCGGCCACACUGGAACUGAGACACGGUCCAGACUCCUACGGGAGGCAGCAGUAGGGAAUCUUCCGCAAUGGGCGAAAGCCUGACGGAGCAACGCCGCGUGAGUGAUGAAGGGUUUCGGCUCGUAAAACUCUGUUAUUAGGGAAGAACAAACGUGUAAGUAACUGUGCACGUCUUGACGGUACCUAAUCAGAAAGCCACGGCUAACUACGUGCCAGCAGCCGCGGUAAUACGUAGGUGGCAAGCGUUAUCCGGAAUUAUUGGGCGUAAAGCGCGCGUAGGCGGUUUCUUAAGUCUGAUGUGAAAGCCCACGGCUCAACCGUGGAGGGUCAUUGGAAACUGGGAAACUUGAGUGCAGAAGAGGAAAGUGGAAUUCCAUGUGUAGCGGUGAAAUGCGCAGAGAUAUGGAGGAACACCAGUGGCGAAGGCGACUUUCUGGUCUGUAACUGACGCUGAUGUGCGAAAGCGUGGGGAUCAAACAGGAUUAGAUACCCUGGUAGUCCACGCCGUAAACGAUGAGUGCUAAGUGUUAGGGGGUUUCCGCCCCUUAGUGCUGCAGCUAACGCAUUAAGCACUCCGCCUGGGGAGUACGACCGCAAGGUUGAAACUCAAAGGAAUUGACGGGGACCCGCACAAGCGGUGGAGCAUGUGGUUUAAUUCGAAGCAACGCGAAGAACCUUACCAAAUCUUGACAUCCUUUGAAAACUCUAGAGAUAGAGCCUUCCCCUUCGGGGGACAAAGUGACAGGUGGUGCAUGGUUGUCGUCAGCUCGUGUCGUGAGAUGUUGGGUUAAGUCCCGCAACGAGCGCAACCCUUAAGCUUAGUUGCCAUCAUUAAGUUGGGCACUCUAGGUUGACUGCCGGUGACAAACCGGAGGAAGGUGGGGAUGACGUCAAAUCAUCAUGCCCCUUAUGAUUUGGGCUACACACGUGCUACAAUGGACAAUACAAAGGGCAGCUAAACCGCGAGGUCAUGCAAAUCCCAUAAAGUUGUUCUCAGUUCGGAUUGUAGUCUGCAACUCGACUACAUGAAGCUGGAAUCGCUAGUAAUCGUAGAUCAGCAUGCUACGGUGAAUACGUUCCCGGGUCUUGUACACACCGCCCGUCACACCACGAGAGUUUGUAACACCCGAAGCCGGUGGAGUAACCAUUUAUGGAGCUAGCCGUCGA